ensembl:lncRNA
GUUGGGGUGUAGUUGGGCUAUAGUUGGGUCCUGGUUGGGGUAUAGUUAUGCUGUGGUUGGGUCCUGGUUGGGGUGUAGUUGGGCUAUAGUUGGGGUGUAAUUGGGUCCUGGUUGGGGUGUAGUUGUGGGGUGGUCGGGUCCUGGUUGGGGUAUAGUUGGGGUGUAGUUGGGUCCUGGUUGGGGUAUAUUGGGGUGUAAUUGGGUCCUGGCUGGGGUGUAGUUGGGGUGUAAUUGGGGGGUGGUUGGGGUGUAGUUGGGCUAUAGUUGGGGUGUAAUUGGGUCCUGGUUGGGGUGUAGUUGGGGUGUAGUUGGGUCCUGGUUGGGGUGUAGUUGGGGUGUAGUUGGGUCCUGGUUGGGGUGUAGUUGUGGGGUGGUUGGGUCCUGGUUGGGGUGUAGUUAUGCUGUGGUUGGGUCCUGGUUGGGGUGUAGUUGGGGUGUAAUUGGGUCCUGGUUGGGGUGUAGUUAUGCUACGGUUGGGUCCUGGUUGGGGUGUAGUUGCGGGGUGGUCGGGUCCUGGUUGGGGUGUAGUUGGGUGUAAUUGGGUCCUGGUUGGGGUGUAGUUAUGCUACGGUUGGGUCCUGGUUGGGAUGUAGUUGUGGGGUGGUCGGG